rnacentral:rRNA from 1 species
CCGCCCCCGCCCCCGCCCCCCAUUGCUAGCUCCUCUUUUAUCCUCAGUCCAACACCUCGCACGCUCAUGUACAACAUCGUCGACCUGACCUGCCCUACCAUGAGGCAUCUCCGGUCGGCUUGCUUGUUUGGUCCGCACUCUCUAUUCUAUUGGAGGUGCGGACCAGGCAGGAGCAGAACGAAAACCAAGGCACUAGGAAGUACUAUAUAUGUUCCUGCCGAGGACGAUGCGACAUAUGCAUCAAUUCACGCAAAGGUGCGCCAGAUGAUCUGGCAGCAAGUCCCGUGCGUCCUUCGUCCAGCGUUUCAAAAUGUGAUUAGCUGGUAUAUGAUCCACACCAAGGACAUCAAGGACCUACACGUCAACAUUUUAUCAGGAUGCUGUUGACCAACAAGAGAAGGGGUACUUGUUGCAUACAGAAUGAGGGAGAUCUUAACGAAGAAGACUUUUUUUAUAUGGCACCUUUAAUGCAUGGCAACAAAGCAAUCCCGUGUAUUCGAAAUUACCACAUUCGCACACUAUCAGUGCGCCGUCAUCGACAACUUCAACUUUGUAGAAAACUCUACACCAUUUUUCAUGCUUCUCUGGGUGGUGUCGUCGCGCUAUAUAUGUUUUCCACCGGC